rnacentral:rRNA from 1 species
GACGAACGCUGGCGGCGUGCCUAAUACAUGCAAGUCGAACGCAGUGGGGACGGGUGAGUAACACGUGGGUAACCUCCCAUCAGAGGGGAUAACACUUGGAAACUGGUGCUAAACCGAUACUGAUGGAUGGACCCGCGGUGCAGUAGCUAGUUGGUGAGGUAACGGCUCACCAAGGCGACGAUGCAUAGCUGACCUGAGAGGGGGAUCGGCAACACUGGGACUGAGACACGGCCCAGACUCCUACGGGAGGCAGCAGUAGGGAAUCUUGGGCAAUGGACGAAAGUCUGAUGGAGCGACGCCGCGUGAGUGAAGAAGGUUUUCGGAUUGUAAAACUCUGUUGUUAGAGAAGCGGUAUCUAACCAGAAAGCCACGGCUAACUACGUGCCAGCAGCCGCGGUAAUAC